rnacentral:rRNA from 1 species
AGCAAUCCGGGAACCAGCAGAGUGCUGCAUGGCUGUCGUCAGCUCGUGUCGUGAGAUGUUGGGUUAAGUCCCGCAACGAGCGCAACCCUUGCCCUUAGUUGCCAGCGGGUAAUGCCGGGCACUCUAAGGGGACUGCCCCGGAUAACGGGGAGGAAGGCGGGGAUGACGUCAAGUCAGCAUGGCCUUUAUGUCCAGGGCUACACACGUGCUACAAUGGGCGGUACAGAGGGAAGCAAAGCCGCGAGGUGGAGCUAAUCCUUAAAGCCGUCCUCAGUUCGGAUCGCAGGCUGCAACUCGCCUGCGUGAAGUCGGAAUCGCUAGUAAUCGCGGAUCAGCUACGCCGCGGUGAAUACGUUCUCGGGCCUU